UAAACGUAUUCCUGAGUAACAUAUUAGGCAUUAUUUUAUUCAAAAAUUCUGACGGGAAAACAGUGACGGCGUUAAAAUAAAAGUCGUUACUGACAGUAACGAUUUAGUCCUAUUACGUAUUCUAAGACCACGACUAAUAGUUGUCUCUUCAUUUAAAAUAACGACGUCGUUCAGUGUUUUCUAAUAUAUGUGAAUAAAUACACAACUGAGCAGUAAGCCCUCAUUGAACAAAUUUUCCUUUUCAACUUAAAUCCCCUCUUCAAAAUAAACCCUCAUUCAAUAAAUUUUCCUUUUCAACUUAAAUCCCCUCUUCAAAAUAAACCCUCAUUCAAUAAGGGGCCAUUUUAAAAACGGAGGGGGUAGGGGGGCUCACACUCAGAAGAGGUAGCUGUUCUUCCCUUUUAUUCUCUCUCACUUCUUGGUAUUUUUGUUUUAUGGCGGAAAAUAAUACAUAUCAGAUGGAUCCGGGUCCACUCGACUCGUCUGUAUUGAAUGAACAACUCACCCAUAGGUCACAGGAUAAUGUGAUUUUGAAUACAAGGAGAUGCGAUGGAAAUUUUUGGGACUUCGUAAAGGACCAUCCAAUUGAUACACGAGUCUUGGAAGUGAUUAGACUAUCGGGAUUGUACGGUGUUUACAGAUCUCAUCGACCUACUAUUGAUCGUAGUUUGAUUACUUCAUUAGUUGAAAGAUGGCGUCCUGAAACUCAUACGUUCCACUUUAGGACGGGAGAAGCGACAAUCACCUUGCAAGACGUAGAGGUGUUGUAUGGCUUACCCGUGAAUGGUGAUCCAGUACUUGGGAAUGAGUUGGCGAGGAGCACAGAGGAUUGGAAAGACAUUUGUCAAAGAUUAUUAGGUUUUAGUCCACUUCCUGGAGACUUUAAAAAAAAUAGCCUCAAGGUAUCGGAACUUAAUCAACACAUGCUACGUCAUCCAAAAUUACUUGACACGGCAACACAAGAUAUGGUCAAUCAGAAGGCUAGAUGUUAUAUGUUUUGGAUGAUUGCUGGUAUGAUGAAGGCGGAUACAUCUGGAAGUAAUUUGAAGCUUAUGUACUUACCUAUGCUUGAGGACGUCAACACAAUAGGAUCUUACAGUUGGGGUAGUGCGACUCUAGCAAGCUUGUAUCACUAUCUUUGUAAGGCCUCACAGGCUAAGCAACAUGAGAUAGCGGGAUUCCUACCACUACUACAGGUAUACCUAAAAAUAUUAAUAAAAGUAUUAACUGUAUUUAUAAAAAAAAAAACUUGUUUUAGGGACGGAUUUUAGCGACACAAUUUAUGUCGUCGCUAUGUAACGACGGAUUACCUACGAAAUUACAAUUUUGUCGCCAAAAAAAGGGAAAACGAAAUGAUAUCUAAACUAACGACGGACUAGCGACAGAAUUUAAUAUCUGUUGCUAUAUUUAGGCGCUAAAAUUAAGCGCCUUUAUUUUAGCUACAAAAUUUACGACAAAUUGUUGGCGACAAAAUUUAUUACAGCUUAGUGACGGAUUUAGCGACGGAUUAUGUCUGUCGUUAGAUAAUAUGUAUGUAUCACCAUAUUUUAAUACCAAUUGCUACGGAUAUUUCCGUUGUUAACUCAAAAAAGGGUAAAAUUUAAUGUUAAUCUUAGCGACGGAACCAAUCCGUUGGUAAAAAUGUCGGCAAAAAAAAUAAAAUUUUAUUUUUAUCAAAGAAAUAAAACAAAAUGGUCUCUAAUAAACACACUAAAACUUCAAAACUGGUUUUAGGGACGGGUUUUAGCGACACAAUUUAUGUCGUCGCUUGUAACGACGGAUUACCUACGAAAUUACAAUUUUUUCGCCAAAAAAAGGGAAAACGAAAUGAUAUCUAAACUAACGACGGACUAGUGACAGAAUUUAAUAUCCGUUGCUAUAUUUAGGCGCUAAAAUUAAGCGCCUUUAUUUUGCUACAAAAUUUACGACAAAUUGUUGGCGGCAAAAAUUAUUACAGCUUAGUGACGGAUUUAGCGACGGAUUAUGUCUGUCGUUAGAUAAUAUGUAUGUAUCACCAUAUUUUAAUACCAAUUGCUACGGAUAUUUCCGUUGUUAACUCAAAAAAGGGUACAAUUUAAUGUUAAUCUUAGCGACGGAACCAAUCCGUUGGUAAAAUUGUCGGCAAAAAAAAUAAAAUUUUAUUUUUAUCAAAGAAAUAAAACAAAAUGGUCUCUAAUAAACACAUUAAAACUUCAAAACCCACUAGAACUUUCUUCAAACCCACAAAGCCACUGAAACUGCUCUUGCUCUCUCUGGCUCUGCUUAGGUUUGUCUUUGCUUCCCUUUUCUCUUCCCUUUUCUGUUAGAUAGGCUUUCUCUUCGUUUUCAAGAACAUAAAAACAUGUUCUUUUCAUCUGGCUAAUUAAUUUCUUCAAUAAUCUGUAAGUAUUAGUAGCAUUUUUGAUUCAUUGUUUAGUGCUGUAUUCAUAUGGGUUUCUUCCAUUUUUAUUCUUUGGUAAUGCAUGAUGUUGACACCCAAUUUCUUCCCUCCUUUUCAAUUUAUUUCCUUGGGCUUCUAAAAUUAUUAAUGAAAUAAAUAAUUUGUUUUCAAUACUAUUUUUUAUUUUCUACUACUAUUAAUAGCGUUACUAUUUUUUACUACCAACAUUACGAGCAUUACUUUAUCACGAUUCUUUAAUAACUCGUCAUCAUUUCAUUUCAGGAUUUGUACUUGCUAAAUUAAUUAUAAAUCAAUACUUUAGUAAGUCCUUUACUUUCUACAUAUUAAUUACUAAUUGCCUUCACAUAAUAUAUAUUGUACUAGUUACUAGUUAUUAAAUUAGAAACCCGAG